AAGACCUUGCGCUUUUGGAGCGGCCGAUGUCUGAUUAGCUUGUUGGUAAGGUAAAAGCUUACCAAGGCUUCGAUCAGUAGCUGGUCUGAGAGGACGACCAGCCACACUGGGACUGAGACACGGCCCAGACUCCUACGGGAGGCAGCAGUGGGGAAUUUUGGACAAUGGGGGCAACCCUGAUCCAGCCAUGCCGCGUGAGUGAAGAAGGCCUUCGGGUUGUAAAGCUCUUUCAGCCGGAACGAAACGGUUACGGUUAAUACCCGUAACUACUGACGGUACCGGAAGAAGAAGCACCGGCUAACUACGUGCCAGCAGCCGCGGUAAUACGUAGGGUGCGAGCGUUAAUCGGAAUUACUGGGCGUAAAGCGUGCGCAGGUGGUUUUGCAAGUCAGAUGUGAAAUCCCCGGGCUCAACCUGGGAACU
rnacentral:rRNA from 1 species